UACAGAGGGUGCGAGCGUUAAUCGGAAUUACUGGGCGUAAAGCGUGCGUAGACGGUUAGAUAAGUCGGAUGUGAAAGCCCCGGGCUCAACCUGGGAAUUGCAUUCGAGACUGCCUAGCUAGGAUGCGGAAGAGGGAAGCGGAAUUUCCGGUGUAGCGGUGAAAUGCGUAGAUAUCGGAAGGAACACCAGUGGCGAAAGCGGCUUCCUGGUCCAGCAUCGACGUUCAGGCACGAAAGCGUGGGGAGCAAACAGG
rnacentral:rRNA from 1 species